UACGAAGGGGGCUAGCGUUGCUCGGAAUCACUGGGCGUAAAGCGCACGUAGGCGGCUUUUUAAGUCGGUGGUGAAAUCCUGGAGCUCAACUCCAGAACUGCCUACGAUACUGAAAGGCUCGAGUCCGGGAGAGGUGAGUGGAACUGCGAGUGUAGAGGUGAAAUUCGUAGAUAUUCGCAAGAACACCAGUGGCGAAGGCGGCUCACUGGCCAGGUACUGACGCUGAGGUGCGAAAGCGUGGGGAGCAAACAGG
rnacentral:rRNA from 1 species